GUGCGUGAGUUCUGUUAACCUUUUUCUUUAUUGCUUCUUGCCCAUGGACCUAUCACAGGUGUUGUUGCUCUUACUGGAGGUGAGGUAUCCUUGGGUCUCUUUAGAUUUUUGAUAGGUUUCCAUACGGAAUGAUCAAAUCGGCUAAGGUUCGUUACAUAGUCUUCAAAUGUUGCUUCCCUCAUUUCUUUUAAUUUGUUUUUGAGUUUAUUACUUAAUUGAUUGUAUUUGGUUUUGUCAGAU